AAUUGCUGCAUCAGGAGGAGGCAAGUCAGGAAUGUCCAUAGCUACAACAUAAAUUUUGAGAAAUCCCAGAAGCUCUUCCUUGCUGGUACAAACUCCAGCAUAGCUGCCGGAAUGCAAAUAAUCUUCUCCAAGCUCAACAUAGCCUUCAUAUAUCUUUUAGCCAAUCCAUUCACUUUUUACGGUACAAACUCCAGCAUAGCUGCCGGAAUGCAAAUAAUCUUCUCCAAGCUCAACAUAGCCUUCAUAUAUCCACGGGUUUGAACCAAUCAACUGCACCCAUUUACUUCCGUUAGCAGGAACCACUACCCCUUUCCUUUGCCUGGCAACAUGUCCAUAGUAAUCAACAAGAGGCAUUUUACUACAUAAA
rnacentral:lncRNA from 1 species